GACGAACGCUGGCGGCGUGCUUAACACAUGCAAGUCGAACGGUAAGGCCCUUCGGGGUACACGAGUGGCGAACGGGUGAGUAACACGUGGGUGAUCUGCCCUGCACUUCGGGAUAAGCCUGGGAAACUGGGUCUAAUACCGGUUAGGACCUCUGCCUGCAUGGGUGGGGGUGGGACGCUUUUGCGGUGUGGGGUGGGCCCGCGGCCUAUCAGCUUGGUGGUGGGGUGCUGGCCUACCAAGGCGACGACGGGUGGCCGGCCUGAGAGGGUGACCGGCCCCACUGGGACUGAGAUACAGCCCAGACUCCUACGGGAGGCAGCAGUGGGGAAUAUUGCACAAUGGGCGCAAGCCUGAUGCAGCGACGCCGCGUGAGGGAUGACGGCCUUCGGGUUGUAAACCUCUUUCAGCACCGACGAAGCGCAAGUGACGGUAGAUGCAGAAGAAGGACCGGCCAACUACGUGCCAGCAGCCGCCGUAA
rnacentral:rRNA from 1 species